CCCCUAGAUGUUCUGGGCCGCACGCGCGCUACACUGAACAGUUCAACAAGUCUUAACCUUGGCCGAUAGGUCUGGGUAAUCUUUGAACGCUGUUCGUGAUUGGGAUAGACCUUUGCAAUUAUGGGUCUUCAACGAGGAAUUCCUAGUAAACGCAAGUCAUCAGCUUGCAUUGAUUACGUCCCUGCCCUUUGUACACACCGCCCGUCGCACCUACCGAUUGAAUGGUCCGGUGAAAUCUCGGGACGGCGGCUUGGUUGCUUGCGUCCGACUGCUGAAACUUGAUUAAACCAUAUCAUUUAGAGGAAGGUGAAGUCGUANCA
rnacentral:rRNA from 1 species